rnacentral:rRNA from 1 species
ACGUCCGGUUUAAUAUGCCCACUGAUAAUAUAUUAAAGGGCUGCAGUAUAUUGACUGUACAAAGGUAGCAUAAUCAAUAGUCUUUUAAUUGAAGACUUGUAUGAAAGAUUUAAUGAAAUAUAAACUGUCUCUUAAUUAUUUAUAGAACUUAAUUUUUUAGUUAAAAAGCUAAAAUAAAUUUAAAAGACGAGAAGACCCUAUAGAGUUUUAUAUUUUAAAAUUUAAAAUUUUAUAUAAAAGUUAAAAUUUUAAGUGGAAAAAUAUUUUGUUGGGGUGAUAAAAAAAUUAAAAAAACUUUUUUUAAAUUUUAACAAAAAUAAUUGAAUAAAUGAUCCAUAUAUUAUGAUUAUAAGAAAAAAUUACCUUAGGGAUAACAGCGUAAUAUUUUUUUUUAGAUCAAAUAAGAAAAAAAGUUUGCGACCUCGAUGUUGGAUUAAGAUAAAAUUUAUAAUGCAAAAGUUUAAAAUUUUGAUCUGUUCGAUCAUUAAAAUCUUACAUGAUCUGAGUUCAAACCGGG